CCAGCAGCCGCGGUAAUUCCAGCUCCAAUAGCGUAUAUUAAAGUUGUUGCGGUUAAAAAGCUCGUAGUUGGAUCUGCGACCAUCAAGACUGGUAGCCCAUUGGGUUUCACUAGUUCUUGUGGUCUCCUUACUGGUUUUUCCUUGGUGCUCUUAAUUGAGUGCCUUGGUUGGCUAGUGCUUUUACUUUGAAAAAAUUAGAGUGCUCAAAGCAGGCGUUUGCCUGAAUAGUGGUGCAUGGAAUAAUGGAAUAGGACCUCGGUUCUAUUUUGUUGGUUUUCGGAGCUCGAGGUAAUGAUUAAGAGGGACAGACGGGGGCAUUCGUACUGCUGCGUUAGAGGUGAAAUUCUUGGAUCGCAGCAUGACGAACAACU
rnacentral:rRNA from 1 species